UACGUAGGGUGCAAGCGUUAAUCGGAAUUACUGGGCGUAAAGCGUGCGCAGGCGGUGAUGUAAGACAGGUGUGAAAUCCCCGGGCUCAACCUGGGAACUGCCUUUGUGACUGCAUAGCUAGAGUGCGGCAGAGGGGGAUGGAAUUCCGCGUGUAGCAGUGAAAUGCGUAGAUAUGCGGAGGAACACCGAUGGCGAAGGCAAUCCCCUGGGCCUGCACUGACGCUCAUGCACGAAAGCGUGGGGAGCAAACAGG
rnacentral:rRNA from 1 species